GGCAAACAAGAAAGAUGUCAUUUCAAGAAAGAUAAACCGACUUGGACGAUUAGGUGGCAGAGAUGUCCUGUCCAUCGUUAACAACAUAAUGAAGAAUCUCAGUGUCACUUAUGUACAACGCCUUUACAAUUGGACAGGAUAAAAAGGCAAACGUGAAUUAGGGGCACAUGCUAUAGCUACCAUUGUUUUUAAUCCAGUCAGAAGAAAUCCAAUGUUUUGAAACACCACAAACAAGGAAAUCAAAGCUGCAGUUAAUCGUUCAAACUGGUUUCCUGACAAUUUCAAGGGACAGGAUGGUGGGAGAUCUCAACGAAUUUCAACCGUCCUAAUUGAGAAAGCAUAAUAAUAAAACAAAA